rnacentral:rRNA from 1 species
CAUUUAAAUUUCUUUAUUAAUUUUUAAUAAAUAAUUUAUAUUAAAUAUUAAAAUAUAUUUAAAAAACAAAAAGACGACAAGACCCUAUUAAAUUUUACUUAUAGUUUAGCUGGGGAAGCUUUUCAAUUAAAAUUUUUUAAAUCUAAUAAAUAAAAAUCUAAUAAAAUUAAAAUUUCAAUAAAUUACUAUAGGGAUAACAGCAUUAUAUUUUUUAAAAGUUCAUAUUAAAAAAAAUGAUUGUGACCUCGAUGUUGAAUUAUAUUUUCUAUAUUAAUGCAAUAAUUAUAAAAGUAGAUCUGUUCGAUCUUUAAAAUAUUACAUGAUUUGAGUUCAAACCGGUGUAAACCAGGUUGGUUUCUAUCUUUUUAUAUAUUUUUCCAGUACGAAAGGACAAAAAAAUUUUUAUUUUAAUAAAUUAGCAAAUAAAUGCAUUAGAUUUAGAAUCUAAAUAUAUUUAGGA